UUAAGUGACGAUAGCCUAGGAGAUACACCUGUACCCAUGCCGAACACAGCAGUUAAGCCCUAGAACGCCUGAAGUAGUUGGGGGUUGCCCCCUGUUAGAUAUGGUAGUCGCUUAGC
rnacentral:rRNA from 3 species